UUGUUUUUUUCAUUCUCAUUUGCGACGUAGACUUCGAAUUAUCAGUAAGUGCACUGUUAAGUCGCCUGCGUCUUCUACCUCAUCAAUACACAACAUUCAUCAAACAAACAAGAAAGAAUACAUAUACCACCGCUCCGGAAUUUUCAUUUUCAAUUUGUUCAAUUUUACUUUAAUCAAGUAGUGCAAAAAAAAUAUAUAAAGAAUUUCUGUUUUUGGGGUUCAAAUUCACAUCGAUCGUCAAUCUGCAUAAUCGUGAUCGCCAGGAUUUUUGUUGUUAUUGGAACAAAUAUUGUGAUUCAGUUUGAUGUUUGCACGGACCAAAUAAUUGAAGCCAGAAAAUGCUUGAAUUUGCGCUCUCCGAGAAAUGUGUACCGACCUCAUGUUCAAAUCUACUGCGAGCGAGCUUUUCCAGUACCCACUGCUCAUGUGCUAUGCCCAAUUAAAAUUAAUUCAAUUAAAUCAUCAUCUCAAUUAACAUAUGUUUCGAGACGCAGCAUGAAAUCUAUUCAAAACCACAUUGAUCAAUUCAUUCACAAAAGUGCACGCAUCAAGUACGAUACUAAUCACAGACAAAUUCAUGUUAACGCUUAACGAUAGAAAGAGAAAAAAAAAGAAAGCCAAAUUUGAGCGAGAAACGUUUCAUGAUAGAAUUUUGUGCUGUCUUUAUUUCUGUGUUUUCGUCGAUACAUUUUUUUCUCUGUUUGCGAACAUUGGAUUUUUUAUGAAAUGGAGCAAAACGAUUGAUACACACAGGUCCACAAAAAAAAAAUGAAAUAAACGAUAAAUAACAAUAUCUGGUAAUAAUUUAUUGUGUAUCGAUGCCAUAUAACGGUAUAUACAAGUGAGUUCGGCAAACAUGCAUUGGCCAUAUCAUUUGAGUAGAUCGCGGUGUUCAAUAAACUGUCUGAAAAUCGAUGCCACCGCACACUCGAAGGCUUUUUAAUCAAUUUGUAUAUACAAUUUAUAUAAAUAUGGGCGUACUGUAAUCGUCUUGUUUCGAAGCGAAAAUAAAAAGAAACAUAUUUGAGAUGAACGUUAUUGUGUGGUAACAGAUGAACAAAUAUUCGGAUUAGUAAAAUCGUUUGCGUACUAUACAUUCAAUGUUCAGACAGACGUACAAAUAUUUCAAACGGUGAAAAACAAAGGAACGCACUUAAAUGCUGAAAAAUCGCUCUUUAUCGGCGCGCUUUCAAAACUGACAAAUAAACUCACUAUUCUCUACUCCUUUCUCUCUCUUUCUCUGCCUCUUUCUCUCGAUCGUUUGAGAAAAGAACCUGAAACAUCAUUUGGACGACCAGACACCAAACCCAAUUGAAAGCUACACGCAUUAUUGGCCUGAAAUCCAUCACAAAACGAAAAAUCACUUCGAAAUCGUAGUUAUGUAUGCGCACACAUUCACGAAAAAUAUGAUCGGAAUGCUGAGGCCCGUUUUGAAGAUUAUUUGAUGUGAUGGCAUUUCAUCAUCACAAUUCGGGCUCAUCAUUCUCCCUGUUUACAAAUCAACAUGAGCAUUGCGUCACGAAAUGUGUGUUCCGUUGGUGUGGUUUCAAGUGCCUAUGCCGUUGUUUCUUCUUUUAUUGCCUAUUGCUCCUUUUCUGUUUACUUGACCUAAAUAAUUCUCCUACGACGUUAAAUCACACACGAAACAUUGAUACCCUCAACAAAAAAAACUGUUCCCAUGAGAUCGAGAGACUAAACAAAAUGUUUCGGUCAUUGCGACGACAAAUUGAAUUGAUGAAUGUAGAGAGAGCGAAAAAAACAACAAGACAAAACGUUCAAUUUGAAGUAGUCAAUUUGCUUGAAUUUUCAAUUCAAUUUUUUUUAAAAGGCGAUGAAAAAAACGCGUCCGAAAAAAGUGGCUUCGCAUUUUAAAAAUGUUGACAUCGGAUAUUGGCGCACGCGAAAGCAAUUUACAGUUGAGACA